GACAGAGGUGCCGAGCGUUAGGCGGAAUCACUGGGCUUAAAGCGUGUGUAGGCGGAUCGUUAAGUACCUUGUGAAAUCCCACGGCUCAACCGUGGAACUGCUGGGUAUACUGGCGGUCUUGAGCCACCUAGGGGCGAGCGGAACAAGCGGUGGAGCGGUGAAAUGCGUAGAUAUCGCUUGGAACGCCGACGGUGAAAACAGCUCGCUGGGGGUGUGCUGACGCUGAGGCGCGAAGGCGUGGGGAGCGAACGGG
rnacentral:rRNA from 1 species